GGCGAAACUGCGAAUGGCUCAUUAUAUAAGUUAUCGUUUAUUUGAUAGUACCUUACUACUUGGAUAACCGUGGUAAUUCUAGAGCUAAUACAUGCUUAAAAUCCCGACUUCGGAAGGGAUGUAUUUAUUAGAUUAAAAACCAAUGCCCUUCGGGGCUCUCUGGUGAUUCAUGAUAACUUCUCGAAUCGCAUGGCCUUGCGCCGGCGAUGGUUCAUUCAAAUUUCUUCCCUAUCAACUUUCGAUGUUUGGGUAUUGGCCAAACAUGGUUGCAACGGGUAACGGAGGGUUAGGGCUCGACCCCGGAGAAGGAGCCUGAGAAACGGCUACUACAUCCAAGGAAGGCAGCAGGCGCGCAAAUUACCCAAUCCCGACUCGGGGAGGUAGUGACAAUAAAUACUGAUACAGGGUUCUUUUGGAUCUUGUAAUUGGAAUGAGUACAAUUUAAAUCCCUUAACGAGGAACAAUUGGAGGGCAAGUCUGGUGCCAGCAGCCGCGGUAAUUCCAGCUCCAAUAGCGUAUAUUAAAGUUGUUGUGGUUAAAAAGCUCGUAGUUGAACCUUGGGCCUGGCUGGCCGGUCCGCCUCACCGCGUGUACUGGUCCGGCCGGGCCUUUCCCUCUGUGGAACC
rnacentral:rRNA from 1 species